rnacentral:lncRNA from 1 species
UUGAUUUGAAGUCAGUGCCAGUAGGGGGAACAGAGUCAAGUGUCAAAGUUAGUGCUAGUAGGGGGGAACAGAGUCAAAUGUCAAAGUCAGUGCUAGUGGGGGGAACAGAGUCAAGUGUCAAAGUCAGUGCUAGUAGGGGGGAACAGAGUCAGGUGUCGAAGUCAGUGCUAGUAGGGGGGGAACAGAGUCAAGUGUCAAAGUCAGUGCUAGUAGGGGGGAACAGAGUCAAGUGUCGAAGUCAGUGCUAGUAGGGGGGGAACAGAGUCAAGUGUCAAAGUCAGUGCUAGUAGGGGGGGAACAGAGUCAAGUGUCAAAGUCAGUGCUAUAGGGGGGAACAGAGUCAAGUGUCAAAGUCAGUGCUAGUAGUAGUAGUAAUAAGCUAGUAAUACUUAUUUCCCUCAUUAAAAUGCAAAUCAAUUUAUAACAUUUUUGACAUGCGUUUUUCUGGAUAUUUUUGUUGUUAUUCUGUCUCUCACUGUUCAAAUAAACCUACCAUUAAUAUUAUAGACUGAUCCUUUCUUU